GCCUGGGUUCAGAGGGAUUAACUGACCCAGGAAAAAUGAUAUGUGAAUUUUUAAAUAAUUUUUGAACCUGACCACUCAAGGCCCUCCCUGCCUGAAUUGACAAUAAUUGAAAGGCUUAUUGACAACACCAAAAGAAACCCCAUGGACCAUAUUGACAAAACAGAUCUUUGGAGUGAUUUGUGGAAGGAAAUCCAGCAGCCACUCCAAGCCAGGGAGUCUGGCAGAGAUCUGCUGCACAAGGGGUUUGGGUCUGGCUGCUCUGCACUGCUGUGUGUGUCCUGAUCCACACAGUAAUCAGCCCCAGCUGGCUCCUGGUAGAAGCUCUGCAACAGCUCCCCAGUCAAAACCAACAAAAAUAAUCAAACCAUAUUAAAUUUUUUUCAAAUGCCAGCCCAUUCUACAGUUUCUGGUGUU